rnacentral:rRNA from 1 species
AUACGGAGGGUCCGAGCGUUAUCCGGAAUCAUUGGGUUUAAAGGGUCCGUAGGCGGGAAUCUAAGUCAGUGGUGAAAUCUUGCAGCUCAACUGUAAAAUUGCCAUUGAUACUGGAUUUCUUGAAUUAGUGUGAAGUGGUUAGAAUGUGUAGUGUAGCGGUGAAAUGCAUAGAUAUUACACAGCAUACCAAUUGCGAAGGCAGAUCACUAACACUAUAUUGACGCUAAGGGACGAAAGCGUGGGGAGCGAACAGGAUUAGAAACCCCAGUAGUCC